CAAGUGUAACUCGCAGGUGACAGUGAGUGACUUGCAUUUCGAUGAAAAACUAUAUCAUAAUAAAGUAAAAUGACGAAUGUCGCGCCACAGAAAAUUACCUUUAGUCUGUUACAUUUUCAUGUUUAUAAAGAUAUUGCCAGUGAGAGACUGCAAGAAUAAGUGCUGGAACUACUAAGUGUGUCAGUCUAAUUGCUUUGGAGAUGAAACUGUUUGAUUGACGCGUAAAAGGCGUUCAAUACAACUGGUUCUGGGUGAGGAGACGUUUAUGGGUAUAGCUAAGGAAGGAGACGCCUAAGCCUACCUAAGGAGAAAAAUGUGAUUUUCACCUGGGAAUAAACACAGGGUCGAUGGACCAGCCAGUUCUAUCAACGGCAAUACCGACUGAAGGCCGGCCAAAAGGUGACUCGAUUAUUAAUGUACGCCAUUCAGAAGCCGGUCAACUCUAUCGACGUACAUCGCUGUGACGUCGCUCUUCUUCUACGAAGUCUACUCACGUACAUCUCUAAAAGCAAGAUCUGAAAAUCCAACGGAGCAGCAGGCGAGCCUUGUUAGGGAACUACAUCGUCUCACAGAAGUUCAUACCACUACAAAAUGCUUUACCCGGCAAUUUAUUUUCGAGGACAUUCGUGGCUGAUCAUUCCGCUGAGAAAUUCGACGAAUGAAAUCAUUGUCACACUAUGAAUGAAAGAAACUACAACAGAUGCUCCUGAACUGCUGCAAGGCCAAGGUCUAAGAUAAAAAAUUAUGGUUCCUUUUAAAAAAGUUAGCGGUGAAGGCAACGGCGGCGGCAACAACGAAAACGAGGGGGUGCCUUUACGGAAGGUAGCCUGAAUCGAUAGAACUACUCAUUCAGAUAUAGGGCAAAAGUUGUCCAUAGGAAGAGAAAUAAGAACACGGCUUAACUACAGGCUUCUCCGAGAGAGCAUACUACAAAUCGUUGUUAUCGACUACAAAUUCGGAGAUUGAAUUUCUUGUUUUUCUUGGAUCUUGUUUUUCGAGGCCUAAAAUUUCAAAGCCUAAUAUUUGGAAUCUAGCGUCGCACUCCAUAGCGACAUUUUAGGAGCAUGCCAAGUUGGAGUGUUUAUUUCUUGAGGGUCGGAAAAAAUCAAUAGAGGAGCUAUAGGCAGACAUGAACGGAACCGUAGCGCAAGUAUACUGGUCAGUCACAAUCACAAACUCUCAUUUUCUCUUGACCGAAUCAGCAGAGUCAAAACCCACAUGAAGAAAUUGUCACACAGCUACCCCGAAAAUACUAGAAUAAAGUGAGUUGUUGUAAAUAUUACUGAA